GACGAACGCUGGCGGCGCGCUUAACACAUGCAAGUCGAACGGUGAACCGGGCUUCGGCCCGGGGAUCAGUGGCGAACGGGUGCGUAACACGUGGGCAACCUGCCCCUCACUCUGGGAUAACCCCGGGAAACCGGAGCUAAUACCGGAUACCCCGACCGGUCCGCAUGGUCCGAUCGGGAAAGGUCCGCCGGUGAGGGAGGGGCCCGCGGCCUAUCAGCUUGUGGGUGAGGUAACGGCUCACCAAGGCGACGACGGGUAGCUGGUCUGAGAGGACGACCAGCCACACUGGGACUGAGAUACGGCCCAGACUCCUACGGGAGGCAGCAGUGGGGAAUCUUGCGCAAUGGGCGAAAGCCUGACGCAGCGACGCCGCGUGGGGGACGAAGGCCCUCGGGUUGUAAACCCCUUUCGGCAGGGACGAAGCGAUCGUGACGGUACCUGCAGAAGAAGCCUCGGCUAACUACGUGCCAGCCGCCGCGGUAA
rnacentral:rRNA from 1 species